GUAUAAGCUCUUGUCAAUGACUUGGUGAUCGUUGUGCUUGCACAUAAGGUCACACAGUCAUUAGACAAGGCAACGGACAUGAGCAUGUAGCACGAUAGUGCGGAAUGCGAAUGGACGUAGAAUUGCGGGGCACAAUGAGUCCAGUGGACUCAUGUUUUGUGC
rnacentral:sRNA from 1 species